GUCGAGAGUAUGGACAAUAAAAGAGGUAGUGAGUAUGGACAAUAAAAGAGGUAGUGAGUAUGGACAAUAAAAGAGGUAGAGAGUAUGGAUAAUAAAAGAGGUAGAGAGUAUGGACAAUAAAAGAGGUAGAGAGUAUGGACAAUAAGAGAGGUCGAGAGUAUGGACAAUAAAAGAGGUCGAGAGUAUGGACAAUAAAAGAGGUCGAGAGUAUGGACAAUAAAAGAGGUAGAGAGGCAUCUGGUGAAGGAACAGUAUAGAUAUAAGAAUGAGAAAGAGAGGGGCAUCGAAAACACAAGGUUUGGUGAUUGAUGAGGAGAUGAGCCAAAGAGCGUGGAAGAAAAUGGAAAAUAAGAAGAAAGGAUGGAGGAGAGGCAGAGAGAAAGCUGGAGAAGAAAAUGAAAGGAAAGGAAAUGAGAGGGAGAGCCCAAUAGAGAUAUUAAAGAAAGAAAGAAAACGUCGUUCCAGUUGAGAGGAGCGUUUUGCACUCUGGUCUUUCUUUCUUGUUCGGGUGGAGAGACCAAAUCCAAUGGUGAAUUGUGAAGGGUGGAGACACACACAGGGCAUUGUGGGGGUCACAACCUUGACUAUCGAUCCGAGCCUCCAUAAUUUCCCGGGCUUGCUGAGAUUCC
ensembl:lncRNA